UGUGGGAGCUGGCUUGCCUGCGAUGCAUGCGCCUCGGUGUAGCAGGUCUACCGAGAUGAUGCCAUCGCAGGCAAGCCAGCUCCCACA
rnacentral:antisense_RNA from 1 species